rnacentral:rRNA from 1 species
GACGAACGCUGGCGGCGUGCUUAACACAUGCAAGUCGAACGAGAGGACAAGAGAAGCUUGCUUCUUUUGGAAUCGAGUGGCAAACGGGUGAGUAACACGUAAACAACCUGCCUUCAGGAUGGGGACAACAGACGGAAACGACUGCUAAUACCGAAUACGCUUGGGAGACCGCAUGAUCUUCCAAGGAAAGGGUGGCCUCUACUUGUAAGCUAUCGCCUGAAGAGGGGUUUGCGUCUGAUUAGGCAGUUGGUGAGGUAACGGCCCACCAAACCUACGAUCAGUAGCCGGUCUGAGAGGAUGAACGGCCACACUGGAACUGAGACACGGUCCAGACUCCUACGGGAGGCAGCAGUGGAG